rnacentral:rRNA from 1 species
UGAGUAACCUGCCCUUAACUCUGGGAUAAGCCUGGGAAACUGGGUCUAAUACCGGAUAUGACUCCUCAUCGCAUGGUGGGGGGUGGAAAGCUUUAUUGUGGUUUUGGAUGGACUCGCGGCCUAUCAGCUUGUUGGUGAGGUAGUGGCUCACCAAGGCGACGACGGGUAGCCGGCCUGAGAGGGUGACCGGCACACUGGGACUGAGACACGGCCCAGACUCCUACGGGAGCAG